rnacentral:rRNA from 1 species
UACGUAGGGGGCAAGCGUUGUCCGGAUUUAUUGGGCGUAAAGAGCUCGUAGGCGGUUUGGUAAGUCAGGUGUGAAAUCUCCACGCUCAACGUGGAGGGGCCACCUGAUACUGCCAUGACUGGAGUCCGGUAGAGGAGUGUGGAAUUCCCGGUGUAGCGGUGAAAUGCGCAGAUAUCGGGAGGAACACCGGUGGCGAAGGCGGGUCUCUGGGCCGAUACUGACGCUGAGGAGCGAAAGCGUGGGGAGCGAACAGG